rnacentral:rRNA from 1 species
UACGAAGGGAGCUAGCGUUGUUCGGAAUCACUGGGCGUAAAGCGCACGUAGGCGGAUUUGCCAGUCAGGGGGUGAAAUCCCGGGGCUCAACCUCGGAACUGCCUUUGAUACAGCAAGUCUUGAGUUCGAGAGAGGUGGGUGGAAUUCCUAGUGUAGAGGUGAAAUUCGUAGAUAUUGGGAGGAACACCAGUGGCGAAGGCGGCUACCUGGACCGGUUCUGACGCUGAUGCGCGAAAGCGUGGGUAGCAAACAGG